rnacentral:rRNA from 1 species
UGGGGAAUAUUGGACAAUGGGCGAAAGCCUGAUCCAGCCAUGCCGCGUGUGUGAAGAAGGUCUUCGGAUUGUAAAGCACUUUAAGUUGGGAGGAAGGGCAGUAAGUUAAUACCUUGCUGUUUUGACGUUACCGACAGAAUAAGCACCGGCUAACUCUGUGCCAGCAGCCGCGGUAAUACAGAGGGUGCAAGCGUUAAUAGGAAUUACUGGGCGUAAAGCGCGCGUAGGUGGUUCGUUAAGUUGGAUGUGAAAGCCCCGGGCUCAACCUGGGAACUGCAUCCAAAACUGGCGAGCUAGAGUAUGGUAGAGGGUGGUGGAAUUUCCUGUGUAGCGGUGAAAUGCGUAGAUAUAGGAAGGAACACCAGUGGCGAAGGCGACCACCUGGACUGAUACUGACACUGAGGUGCGAAAGCGUGGGGAGCAAACA